rnacentral:tRNA from 1 species
UGUCGUAUAGCUCAGUCGAGAGCACAGUGCUAAUAACGCUGCGGUCCAGGGUUCGAGCCCCUGUAUGACCA